rnacentral:rRNA from 1 species
UACGGAGGAUCCAAGCGUUAUCCGGAAUUAUUGGGUUUAAAGGGUCCGUAGGCGGUUUAAUAAGUCAGUGGUGAAAGCCCAUCGCUCAACGGUGGAACGGCCAUUGAUACUGUUAGACUUGAAUUAUUAGGAAGUAACUAGAAUAUGUAGUGUAGCGGUGAAAUGCUUAGAGAUUACAUGGAAUACCAAUUGCGAAGGCAGGUUACUACUAAUUGAUUGACGCUGAUGGACGAAAGCGUGGGUAGCGAACAGG